ensembl:snRNA RNU6-171P RNA, U6 small nuclear 171, pseudogene
GUGCUCAUUUUGGCAGCACAUAUGCUAAAGUUGCAAUGAUACAGAGAAGAUUGGUGUGGCCCCUAGGCAAGGAUGACAUGCGAAGUGGUGAAGUGUUCCUUAUUUAU